AUGUCCUUGUGUUAUUUGCUGAUUGUAUUUAUAACCAAGAUCAGUGAUUGUCAAAAAGGACAAAUAUUAAAUAUUACAGCCAAUGUCUCGUUAUUGUUUAAAAAUGCUUGUAUAAAUGGCCUUUAAACAUUUCCAUACGUUGGUUACAUUU